GGUGACAUGCAGGGGGACUCUUUGAGUUGAGAAGGUUAAAACCUGACCCUUAGAACCUGUCGGUUAACACCGUGGAAGGAAGCAUCUAUCUAUUUUUG
rfam:Peptoniphilus asaccharolyticus DSM 20463 genome assembly, contig: Pasa20463_Contig222